ensembl:snRNA U6 U6 spliceosomal RNA
GUACUCACAUAGGGAGAACAUAUACUGAAAUCAGAACCAUACAGAGAAGAUUAGCAUGGGACCUGUGCAAAUAUGUCAUGCAAAUUCAUGAAGAAGUGCAUAUUUUU